ensembl:snRNA U7 U7 small nuclear RNA
AAAUGUAAAAGUCCUUUUAGAAUUUUUCUAGCAGGUUUUCAGUCAUGAUCAAAAGACCCCA